rnacentral:rRNA from 1 species
GACGAACGCUGGCGGCGUGCCUAAUACAUGCAAGUAGAACGCACAGUUUAUACCGUAGCUUGCUACACCAUAGACUGUGAGUUGCGAACGGGUGAGUAACGCGUAGGUAACCUGCCUGGUAGCGGGGGAUAACUAUUGGAAACGAUAGCUAAUACCGCAUAAUAUUGAUUAUUGCAUGAUAAUUGAUUGAAAGAUGCUAUUGCAUCACUACCAGAUGGACCUGCGUUGUAUUAGCUAGUAGGUGAGGUAACGGCUCACCUAGGCGACGAUACAUAGCCGACCUGAGAGGGUGAUCGGCCACACUGGGACUGAGACACGGCCCAGACUCCUACGGGAGGCAGCAGUAGGGAAUCUUCGGCAAUGGACGAAAGUCUGACCGAGCAACGCCGCGUGAGUGAAGAAGGUUUUCGGAUCGUAAAGCUCUGUUGUAAGAGAAGAACGGGUGUGAGAGUGGAAAGUUCACCCUGUGACGGUAUCUUACCAGAAAGGGACGGCUAACUACGUG